GACCUUGUAGCUCAGAAGGUAGAGCAGCGUUCUAGAAAUGCGAAGGUCGCGGGUUCGAAUCCCAGCCGCGGUCA
rnacentral:tRNA from 1 species